rnacentral:rRNA from 1 species
GGGGGGGGGGGGGGGGGGGGGGGGGGGGGGGGGGGGGGGGGGGGGGGGCGGGGGGGGGGGGGGUGCGCGGGGGGCGGGGGGGGGGGGGAGACGGGGGUAACGGGGCGGGGACGGUGGGAGGACUGCGGGAAGCGGGGGCUAGGAACGGAGAGGAGCUCCGUCUGCCUUGUGGGUGGGGGAAAGGUUCGGCGGUUGGGAAUGGACUCGCGGCUUACCAGCUUGUUGGUGGGGUAGUGGCUUACCAGGGCUGUGACGGGUAGCCGGCCUGAGAGGGUGACCGGCCACAUUGGGACUGAGAUACGGCCCAGACUCCUACGGGAGGCAGCAGUGGGGAAUAUUGCACGAUGGGCGGAAGCCUGAUGCAGCAACGCCGCGUGCGGGAUGACGGCCUUCGGGUUGUAAACCGCUUUCGCCUGUGACGAAGCGUGAGUGACGGUAAUGGGUAAAGAAGCACCGGCUAACUACGUG